GAGUUCUUCAGGACACACAGCCAUCUCCCUCUCUAGCAGGGCCGUCCUAAGCAAAAAGCUGGCUCUUAAAGGCACAAGAAGACAAU
rnacentral:snoRNA from 1 species